ACGAGGGUCUCCAGCGCCAACACAGGUGCAACAAAUCACAUCAGCANCCCCGCUACCGACGUGGAUGGACACGCCGACCUACACGACGGCGCCACUACAGCCGACGGUGUUGCAGCCACCCGCCCCCACCUUCGGGGGGUUCGGCAGGUACACUGAUCCGUACGCCGGGAGCUCCGUGGUGCCGCAACAAUCUUCUUCCGCCGCGCUGGGCCGUCACGAGGGCACCUACGCGGCCUCGCCACACGUGCAGCAGCCACCCCGCUUCACCAAGCUGGAGUUCGCCACCUACGACGGCACCGUCGACCCCCUGAACUGGCUCAAUCAGUGCGACCAGUUUUUCAGGGGGCAGCGGACCAUGGCGUCCGACCGCCUGGUCAUACGUGCGCCCGCCUGUUCUACUUAGAGACCGUCGACGACGCGGAGGUGGAGGCCCUCACCGCGGCGCUCGACGCCACCACUCUCCGAGGCCGGCGUCACAACCUACGGGCCGGUCGACGCGACCGCCUUCGUCGUCUCCCUUCAUGCCAUGGCUGGCAUCAAGACGGCAAAGACGAUGCUGCUUCCGGUGACGAUCAACGGGGAGCGUCUAACCGCGCUCGUGGACACGGGUUCGACGCACAACUUCCUGUCCGGGGACGCCAUGCGCCGCCUCGCACUCCAACCGGCGGGCUCGGAGAAGUUCAGCGUCACCGUCGCCAACGGGGACCGCCUUGCUUGCCAGGGGGUGGCGCGGCAGGUUCCCGUCCUCAUCGGCGACGAGCCGUUCUCGAUCGACUGCGUCGGCAUCGACCUGGGCUGCUACGACUUCAUCCUCGGCAUCGACUUCCUGUCCACUCUCGGCCCCAUACUUUAGGACCUCGAUGUGUUGUCCCUCAUCUCCUGGCGCGAGGGCGGCCGUCGUGUUCAGUGGACAGGCAUCGGCGGCUCCGGCGCCGUGACUCCACAGCUCCAGUUGAUGGCGUCCGCACUGGACGAGGCGCAUCCCCUCCUGGCCGACCUCUUGCAGCAGCACAACGACAUCUUCGACGAGCCACAGGGCCUCCCUCCCGUGCGGCCCUGUGACCACCGCAUCCACCUGCUGCCGGACACGGCACCUGUAGCCAUGCGUCCGUACCGGUACCCUCAGCUGCAGAAAGACGAGCUCGAGCGUCAGGUGGCGGUCAUGCUCGCGCAAGGCAUCAUCCGGAUUUCGACAUCGCCGUUCUCCGCCCCGGUGCUCCUUGUGCGCAAGUCCGACGGCACAUGGCGCUUCUGCAUCGACUACCACGCCCUCAACGCCCUGAUGUCCAAGGACAAGUUCCCCAUCCCCGUCGUGGAUGAGCUCUUGGACGAGCUACACGGAGCGCGCUUCUUCACCAAGCUCGACCUUCGCUCGAGCUACGAUCAGGUGCGCAUGCACCCUGACGACAUCGAGAAGACGGCGUUCCGCACUCACCAUGGCCACUUCGAGUUCCUGGUGAUGCCGUUCGGCCUCUCCAACGCGUCGGCGACCUUCCAGGCCCUGAUGAACGACGUGCUCAGCCCAUACUUGCGCCGCUUUGCGCUUGUUUUCUUUGAUGACAUUCUCAUCUACAGUGCAUCUUGGGCGGAGCAUCUACAACAUGUGGCCAUCAUCUUCAACGAGCUUCGAGCGCAUCGUCUUCACCUCAAGCGCUCGAAGUGCUCGUUCGGCACGACCUCCAUCGCGUACCUGGGGCACGUCAUCUCGACGGACGGGUAGCGAUGGACGCGGACAAGGUCGCCGCCGUCGCCGCAUGGCCGAUCCCGCGGUCACCGCGUGCGCUCCGCGGCUUCUUGGGCCUCGCCGGCUACUACCGGAAGUACAUCCGGGACUUCGGCCUCACCGCCGCGCCACUGACGCGUCUCCUUCGACGCGACGCCUUCUCCUGGGACGAGGAGGCGACUACGGCAUUCGAGGCUCUCCAGCAGGCGCUCACGACGGGACCCGUCCUCCAGAUGCCGGACUUUGAUAUGCCGUUCAUCAUGGACUGCGACGCCUCUGGCAUCGGCUUCGGCGCCGUCCUUCACCAGGGCGAGGGACCGCUCGCCUUCUUCAGCCGCCCCUUCGUCGCUCGCCAUCACAAGCUCGCGGCCUACGAGCGCGAGCUUAUUGGGCUGGUUCAGGCGGUGCGCCACUGGCAGCCUUAUCUUUGGGGCCGGUCAUUCCGUGUGCGCACAGACCACUACAGCCUCAAGUUCUUGCUGGACCAGCGCCUCUCCACAGUUUCGCAACACCAGUGGAUCAGCAAGCUCUUUGGCUUCGACUUCACUGUUGAGUACCGCCCCGGCCGUCUCAACACGGUCGCCGACGCCUUGUCCCGCCGCGACACUGCAGAUGUCGCGGACGACGUCGCCAUGGCUGGCACUAUCAUGUGCAUUCGCUCCGGGCCAUCUUUCGCCUUCAUCAACAAAAUUCGCCGGGCAACUUCGACGGCCGUGGACGCCCAGGGCCUACGCCGGCGAGCUGGACGCGCCCUGGCGCUUGGACGAGGGGCUACUCCUACAUGGCCGCCGCAUCUUUGUGCCCGACCAUGGCGACCUACGACACCAGGUCCUGACUUUGGCGCACUCUGCAGGGCACGAGGGCGUGCAGAAGACUCUCCAUCGUCUCCGUGCUGAUUUUUACAUCCCCGGUGAUGGCGCGAUGGUCCGCGACUGGGUGCGGUCGUGCGUGACGUGCCAGCGGAGGAGGAAGCGACUUGGGAGAAGCUCGACGAUGAGGUAUGCGAGUGUACAGUGGACCGGCCUGCCAGAGGAGGAAGCGACUUGGGAGAAGCUCGACGAUUUCCGCCAGCAGUUUCCAGAUGUUCAGCUCGAGGACGAGCUGUUUGAGAAGGCGGGGAGAGAUGUUAUGACCGGUACAACGUACCAACGGAGGAGGCCCAAUGGGCAGGGUUAAUUACGGGCUUAGCCCAAGUUAUCUUACCUAUCUUAGAAGUCCAAGUUAUAUUAGAGUCCAAGUUAGAGUCCAAGUUAUCUAGGGUUUAGUGGAGGUUGUCCUCCUUUAUAAACACAUGUACCCCUUCGAUAUUAAUCAGACAAUAAACAGUAUAUUCUGUUGUCGUCUCCCUCAGGAGACGAGAGCCCCAAACCCUAGCCGCCUCUCUCUCUCUCUCACGCCGCGACGGCGCCUAACCGCCGGCGCCGGCGUCCCCAACCUCGCAGCCCGCACUUCCACCCCUACAACCUACGUCCGAGACCUGGUAGAACCCUAGCCUCUACCACAUACACAAGUUUGACUUCAUUAAAAUCGAGACACCUUAUAUUCUGGAACAGAGGGAGUAUUUCCUCUGCAUCAAACAACAUACUAUUAAUCUCAAAGCUUACACAGUUUUGAUAGUUAAUCUAGAAUGGACCGGAGAGGAAGAGAAAGCAUAGUAGUAACGACAUGAUAAUACUACUAGACACAAAAAGGUAAACUUACCUGUAGCCUGAAUGGCUUGACUCCAAGGAUAACAAGACGCUCAAAGAGAGACUGUGCUAAUCCUGCUCGUGCUGCCUUUUUGCACAUGAUAACUGGACCCAAUUGGCAAUGAUCUCCAACAAGAACAACCUGAAUAGCUCGAAAGCAUAAAUAAAUAAAAUCAGGUUAACCUAAAUGAGGUCAUUGAUUAUAUCUUCACCUGCUUAACACCAAGAACCAAUGGAAUAAGACAUUCUGGCUCUGUCGCCUGUGUAGACUCAUCGAUAAGAACCUGUCGAUAACAAUUUCCAUUGCUUCAGGACACAAUAUAGAACACAUAUGAGCACUACUAACUUAAAAACUAAAGGGUAGAAAUCAUUACCUGGCGAAAGCGGAAGUUUGACAAACGAGGGUCUCCAGCGCCAACACAGGUGCAACAAAUCACAUCAGCACUUUGUAAUAUCUCUCUUUCAGUCGCUCGUUUUAGUGCCUUGUACUUUUUCUCAUCACUGCUCGACAAUUCUCCUGUGGAAAUAGAAAAGGUACAUCAGUUCCCAGUCAACCAAAUGAGUCAUAUCAAGCCUCUUCACAGAAAAUAUUCAAUGAAAGCAUCAUGCUUGGUGAGAGACUGAGUGGAUAAAACAC
rnacentral:lncRNA from 1 species